AUUUGGAUAUGUACAAAUGUCAAUGUUUUAUGAGAACUUGAAUUCAAAACAACGUGCUAUGCCAGCUUUCUUCUUAAUGAAUGGUUUUAAUGUCUAAUGAUGCAGAGCAAAUUUGAGUUCCAAUUAAGACUUCAAGAGUUCAUAGAGUUGGUGCGAGUUGAAAACAAGUUGGGAGCUAUAACAUAUGCACGGAAGUACCUUGCACCUUGGGGUGCCAUCCAUAUGAAAGAGUUGCAGAGGGUCAUGGCAACACUGGCCUCUAGAAGUAAUACCGAAUGUGCUACAUACAAGUGCUGAAUAAUGUUUAAUUCUUAGUGCUGAAAAUGCUUCCAUUGUUUUUUCUACCCCACUUGGAUCACUUUGAGGUCAAUCACUUUGAAGUUGCUAUUUGGUGUGGAAAUUAAAUCACUGGUUUUGUAAUUCAUAUAUUGUAAUUUAGUAUUUUGUAAUGUAAUGUAUAAAUAACAAAUAAUAUAAUAUGCAAUGGAUUGUAUUGUAAUGCA